AUCUCACAUGCAGUUUGAGAUUUUAUAAUAAAUUGUAGAGUUCAUUAUAUCCAGAUCUCCCAAGUGUUCUUGUUUUGGAGGAACAGUCCCUAUAUUGGGCCUAAAUCCCACUGUCGCUCUUUUCUAUCCUAAUGUCCUUCUUUUCUAGGAGCUCCAUGUUGUUGGUGUGUCUGAGUGUAUAACAGAGCUCCACAGAAAUAAUACUCCUAUUAAUGUGUCUUUAAUAUGGCCACUAAAGUCACUUCAUCUCAAUGAAGUGGUCUAGGUGUAGUGGUCCUGGUUUUUAGAAACUGCUUUGCAUAAACUGCCUGAUUAAAUACACCAUUGAUGACAAUCUUUCUGACAGCCACUAGGGGCGCUUCCUCCUCCAGGACUGGUUGAUCCUGGAAUCAAAC